GAUGAAGAACGCAGCGAAAUGCGAUAAGUAAUGUGAAUUGCAGAAUUCAGUGAAUCAUCGAAUCUUUGAACGCACCUUGCGCCCUUUGGCCAUUCCGAAGGGCAUGCCUGUUUGAGUAUCAUGAACACCUCAACUCUUCAUGGUUUUCCGUGAUGAGCUUGGACUUUGGGGGUCUUGCUGGCCUAUGGUCAGCUCCUCUAAAAUAAAUCAGCUUGCCAGUGUUUGGUGGGUAUCACAGGUGUGAUAACUAUCUACGCUUGUGGUUUUCCACCAGGUAACCUUCAGCAGUGGAGGUUCGCUGGAGCUCACAGAUGUGUCUCUCCUCAGUGAGGACAGCUCUUUGAAUGUUUGAUCUCAAAUCAGGUAGGACUACCCGCUGAACUUAAGCAUAUCAAUAAGCGGGAGGA
rnacentral:misc_RNA from 1 species